GAUGAACGCUAGCGAUAGGCUUAACACAUGCAAGUCGAGGGGCAGCAUGGUCUUAGCUUGCUAAGACUGAUGGCGACCGGCGCACGGGUGCGUAACGCGCAUGCAACUUGCCUCACAGAGGGGGAUAACCCGUCGAAAGACGGACUAAUACCGCGUACACUCCAUCUUGGGCAUCCAAGGUAGAGGAAAUGAAAUUCGCUGUGAGAUAGGCAUGCGUCCCAUUAGCUAGUUGGUGAGGUAACGGCUCACCAAGGCGACGAUGGGUAGGGGAACUGAGAGGUUGAACCCCCACACUGGUACUGAGACACGGACCAGACUCCUACGGGAGGCAGCAGUGAGGAAUAUUGGUCAAUGGGCGAGAGCCUGAACCAGCCAAGUCGCGUGAAGGAUGACUGUCUUAUGGAUUGUAAACUUCUUUUAUACGGGAAUAACAAGAGUCACGUGUGACUCCCUGCAUGUACCGUAUGAAUAAGCAUCGGCUAACUCCGUG
rnacentral:rRNA from 1 species